GAAAAAAUACGUUUGGACUGUUAAGGGAAGAGGUGGGUCUUAUGAAGGGGAAAUAUGCUACUCCAUCAGACUGGCUAUGGUACAAUCACAACGCAGUGAUCCCUUAACUACGAACCCCUGGUGAUUCUGCUAGCAAUAUCUUUAAAAAGACCCAGUAGAACUCACCGUCAGCUCUGACAGAGGUGAUCUGGAGGAAGAAGAAAGCAGAUCCCACACACUGGACGAAGUCUGUUCGGUUUUGCCCAGACAUGAAGAAGGAAAACCUGUGAUGGAAAGGAAACCUAUCCUUACUGCUGCCAGAAUCUUUUUGGUUAAUAUACAUGCACAAGAUAAUUUGCUAUUUCUGUUGAAACGGAAAGCUCCAAAAUGAUGUUUUUCAUAUUCUUCUCCUUACUUGCUAUUUUUUCCUGACUUCUUGAGUUACCCCCACCUCCUAGAAAUGUGAGGUUGGCAAGGAAUGUGUGAGCCUCCUGGAAAAUCCUAGAGGAUGAAUAACAACAACCAAAAGCAGUAGCUGACCUCCUAUAAAGCACUUCCUUCUAUCCUGCCCUUCUGUGUCCCAGACUACUGAAGUAACCAUUAUUCUAAUGCCCAGAUAUGGAGAAAGUGAUACUCUUGAGGAUCCAGAAGCUCAUUUUCAGCAUCCUUGGAUUUUCUCAACAAUUACUGUAGAGCUAUUAUCGGAUAUCAAGGUAGUGUCAGAGGCUUUGGUGGUAAAGUAGAAAAUGUUCUGAAAA